rnacentral:rRNA from 1 species
GACGAACACUGGCGGCGUGCUUAACACAUGCAAGUCGAACGAAGAGCGACGGAAGCUUGCUUCUAUCAAUCUUAGUGGCGAACGGGUGAGUAACGCGUAAUCAACCUGCCCUUCAGAGGGGGACAACAGUUGGAAACGACUGCUAAUACCGCAUACGAUCUAAUCUCGGCAUCGAGGAUGGAUGAAAGGUGGCCUCUACAUGUAAGCUAUCACUGAAGGAGGGGAUUGCGUCUGAUUAGCUAGUUGGAGGGGUAACGGCCCACCAAGGCGAUGAUCAGUAGCCGGUCUGAGAGGAUGAACGGCCACAUUGGGACUGAGACACGGCCCAGACUCCUACGGGAGGCAGCAGUGGGGAAUCUUCCGCAAUGGACGAAAGUCUGACGGAGCAACGCCGCGUGAGUGAUGACGGCCUUCGGGUUGUAAAGCUCUGUUAAUCGGGACGAAAGGCCUUCUUGCGAAUAGUGAGAAGGAUUGACGGUACCGGAAUAGAAAGCCACGGCUAACUACGUG